UCAAAGCCUGAUGCAGAAGGAAGGAGGGGU
rnacentral:piRNA from 1 species